UACGUAGGUGGCAAGCGUUGUCCGGAAUUACUGGGUGUAAAGCGCGUGUAGGCGGCAGACCAAGUCGGCGGUGAAAGCGCCCGGCUCAACUGGGCGAGGUCCGUGGAAACUGGUCAGCUGGAGGACGGUAGAGGCGAGUGGAAUUCCCGGUGUAGUGGUGAAAUGCGUAGAGAUCGGGAGGAACACCUGUGGCGAAGGCGGCUCUCUGGAACGGUACUGACGCUGAGACGCGAAAGCGUGGGGAGCGAACAGG
rnacentral:rRNA from 1 species